CAACUACUCCCUCUGUCCCAAAUUUCUUGUCUUAGAUUUGUCUAGAUACAGAUGUAUCUAAUACUAAAAUGUGACUUGAUACAUCCGUAUCUAGACAAAUCUAAGACAAGAAUUUUGGGACGGAGGGAGUAGUUU
rnacentral:pre_miRNA from 1 species